GAUGAACGCUAGCGGGAGGCUUAAUACAUGCAAGUCGAACGGUAACAGGUUCUUCGGAACGCUGACGAGUGGCGCACGGGUGAGUAACGCGUACACAACUUGCCUUCAACAGGGGGAAAGUCACUGGAAACGGUGAAUAAUCCCGCAUAACAUUAUGAAAUCGCAUGGUUUUAUAAUUAAAGUUCCGACGGUUGAAGAUAGGUGUGCGUUCUAUUAGCUAGAUGGUAAGGUAACGGCUUACCAUGGCGACGAUAGAUAGGGGGCGUGAGAGCGUGAUCCCCCACACGGGUACUGAGACACGGACCCGACUCCUACGGGAGGCAGCAGUAAGGAAUAUUGGUCAAUGGACGGAAGUCUGAACCAGCCAUCCCGCGUGUGUGAUGAAGGCCCUCCGGGUUGUAAAGCACUUUUGUAUGGGAAGAAUGACCGGGAUUUAUCCUGGGAGAGACGGUACCAUAAGAAUAAGCACCGGCUAACUCCG
rnacentral:rRNA from 1 species